UACAGAGGUCUCGAGCGUUAGGCGGAAUCACUGGGCUUAAAGCGUGUGUAGGCGGAUGCCUAAGUACCUUGUGAAAUCCCACGGCUUAACCGUGGAACUGCUUGGUAUACUGGGUGUCUUGAGCCACUCAGGGGCGAGCGGAACAAAUGGUGGAGCGGUGAAAUGCGUAGAUAUUCGGAAGAACACCAGUGGCGAAGGCGACUCGCUGGACAGGUAUUGACGCUGAGGUGCGAAAGCGUGGGGAGCGAACAGG
rnacentral:rRNA from 1 species